rnacentral:lncRNA from 1 species
UUGAAUAAUUCAAACAAUUUUAACCCAAGUUUCAUAGAAAAUAAAAAAUGUAAUGAGUUAAUCAAACAUGUCACCAUAAUAAUAAAUUUACAUUAAUUUCAGCGAGUCACUUUAUAGUUCACGAGCAAUUUGGUCACGUAGAUUGUUCAUAUAUUGUACGCCUUGAGGGCCCCAUUGCACUGCAUCUUGCUCUCCUUCAUGAUUUUCUUCAUAUUAUUCAUCAUCUCCAUCAAUUGUGGUAGCUUGAUCAUACUUUUUGUGUACAAGGGGGCUAUACGUGAAUGCCUCAAGGAAAUUUAGUAAUGGUCUUCCUACUUAUUAUGCCCCAAAAAUACAAAAUUUAUGCUAACAGUUCAAUAAUAGCAUGCCAUUAUGAAUGCUAAUUCAAAAGAGGGGAUGUGAAGCAUCACUUGAAAGAAAAGGGUCGAGACUCUGGAAUUGAUAUUGCAAAAAAAUUAUUCAGACUUUGAACUAGUUUCCAUCCCGUUCAAGUUUCACAGCACACAUUCCAUGCCGCUAAUGCCAAACAAGUGUAAAGUGUUCUAUAUGGUAAUAUAUAAAUUCAUAUUUUCCCAUCUUUUUGCUACACUUCAAAGGAAUUUGAGAUAAUAGGAAUUGUAACAGAUUGCCAACCUCCUCAAUAUGCAAAUUAUAUAACCCACAUUGCAAACAAAAAAAGUUACAAAAUGAGCAAGCUACGCUUUUAAUGAGUAAAAUUAAACAAACUCAUCCUACUCUUUAUAUCCCAGCCAAUCAGUGCAAUAUAUAGCUUUGCAUCAAAAUGAGAUUGGAGAAUAUCAAUUGAAGAUUAGCAAGUAAUUCAAUUUGUUGGUCAGCUUCUCUACUUGUUUACACAAUCAACAGAUAAACACCAAAAUGUCAGGCCUCAAAUUUCCCACAACCAAAUUCUCCCUCCAUCAGAAAUUAGAGAUACAUCCAAUUUUUGGAGUCAAUUCGCGAAUUUCUAAAUUUCAUAAUCAGCAAGAGAUCAUUUAGUUUAAUACAAACAAUAAUACCUGAGGGAGUAUGUUUUACUUAUGCAAACCUGACCUAAGGCAAAACUAAUUAGACCUCAACAGCAUCCAAAGACUACACAUUCAAACCCAUGAGCCAUUUUAAGAAUUCUAUCUAAAGAACACUCUAUUUCAAUUCAAAUAUUUAUAUACAAUACAUGCAUGUAUUUGGGUUUAUCUUGCUUGCUUGCAUGAAAGAAAAGUGAGAUUGUAUUUCUCACAAACACAAAACCCAAUAAACUGAAAAAAAAUAUUCAGAGUCAGGGGCCAUGGAGAAUCAUCAUCACUCACCCUUUCUCUCUCCCAAAGCCAAAUAGAAGAAACACACAAUGCCCGCUAGAUUUUAAAGCUCAAAUCACAAAUGGGAUCUAGUAAACGAAGGACAAUCAUCUGAUAUAGUUAGUGCAAUUAUACUCUUUGUUUGCCUGUGAAAAACCCAUAAAAUACAGUUAAACUUGAAUUAAAUUUUCAAUUGCUACAACAAAGCUACCAACCCAAAUCUAAAAUCGUUGGAAAAGUGAUUUGGAUUGUUCUUUUUGCUAAAUAGCAACAACAACAAAUUGCUAACAUUCAGUAACCCUUGUUCCCAAUAUUAAAAUUCAAAAUACAGGAAGAAACAUAUGAAAACUAAUAGCAUCUUCAUAACUCUGAAUCACAUACCCACCAUAUACAUGAAAAACAGAGAUCAAAUUAGGGCAAUGGAGCAGCGACGCAGAGACGAGGGUUACCUGUCAGAGAAGCGAGGAACCAACGAUGCAGAGAAGAGAUGGGAGAUGGAGAUGCAAAGAUCAAAGAGACGGAGAUGUGAUGCAGAGCGCGGCACUAGAGAUGGAAGGAGAGCACGAGGCUAUUUGGGUAAAACUCGUCAUUCAGCCUAUUCAGCCCAAUUUUUUAAAAAGAAUCGGUCAGAUACAUUCAACCCAAUUCAGAUCUCAAAAUUUAUAAACAAACAGUUUGAAUGGCUGAAUCGCUCAGAUUCAGAGCCAUUCAAACCGUUUCACAGCAAAACAAACAGCCCUUAACAUCUUACUUCUAAUUUCUAAAUAAACCCUUCAACACAAAUUAAU